rnacentral:rRNA from 1 species
CGGUAAUACGUAGGGUGCGAGCGUUGUCCGGAAUUACUGGGCGUAAAGGGCUCGUAGGUGGUUUGUCGCGUCGUCUGUGAAAUUCCGGGGCUUAACUCCGGGCGUGCAGGCGAUACGGGCAUAACUUGAGUACUGUAGGGGUAACUGGAAUUCCUGGUGUAGCGGUGAAAUGCGCAGAUAUCAGGAGGAACACCGAUGGCGAAGGCAGGUUACUGGGCAGUUACUGACGCUGAGGAGCGAAAGCAUGGGUAGCGAACAGGAUUAGAUACCUGGUAGUCAAGGC